rnacentral:lncRNA from 13 species
CUUCAUAAAUUAUAUUCUUUUCAUCGUAAAACGUAACUGCGUUGACGUCAUUUUAGGUUAAAAAUGUGAAUCUAUUAAUGAAACCGUGAUGUGGCAAAAAAGAAAUAAAUAAAUGUAAAAGGAAUGUUCGACUUCCUGGAAGCUUUUUUCAAAUCAAAUGUCAUUUGCAUGCGACAAUCGACGAUGAUAAAAGCUAAAAGCGUAAGAAUGCAAUAAGAGGAUUAAUUCAAUCUGUUUGCAUCUCGAGCAUUAGAAAUGAGACAAGCACGUGUACAUUAUAACUGGAGAAUGAAAUGUAGAAUAAUUCAAGUGCGAUAAACAGACUUAAUGAAACGAGGUAAGAAAAAAAAGAACGCAGGAAAAGUAUAAUGAAAAAAAGGGACCUGGUUCUCUUUAAUUGCACUCGAUACAAUUUUUCUCGUGAGACCUGAGAACGAGCAUUCGUUUCAGAUACAGAAGAUACAUUAUUCGGCAUGCGGAGAGCCUUUUGCUUCAUCAACAACAAACAAUAGUAAAAAGUAACGCAAUAGAAAGAAAAAGGAAA